GACGAACGCUGGCGGCGUGCUUAACACAUGCAAGUCGAACGGAGUGGCGAACGGUUGAGUAACACGUGGGUGACCUGCCCUGCACUUCGGGCUAAGCCCGGGAAACUGGGUCUAAUACCGGAUAGUGUGGGAUGGGCCCGCGGCCUAUCAGCUUGUUGGUGGGGUAAUGGCCUACCAAGGCGACGACGGGUAGCCGGCCUGAGAGGGUGGACGGCCACAGUGGGACGGAGGAACGGCCCAGACUCAGACGGGAGACAGCAGUGGGGAGUAUUGCGCAAUGGGGAGAGGACUGAUGCAGAGACGCCGCGUGGGGGAUGACGGGAGUCGGGUUGUAAACUCGAUUAACCAUCGACGAGGUAGAUGGAGAAGAAGCACCGGCUAACUACGUGCCAGCAGCCGGGGUAAUAC
rnacentral:rRNA from 1 species